AUGGCAUGUGGGAACGUACCUGUCAACUUAUUGCCAUUGAGAGCAGGAAUAUUUAAGAUGGCAUGUGGGAACGUACCUGUCAACUUAUUGGCACCCCCAUGGAGGAACUGCAGCUUGUGCAGCUCUGCCAAGUCACUUGGGAGAUUUCCCUCAAUGUUAUUAAACGAGAAAAUGAGCUUUCUCAGUGUUGUGAUAUUGCCGAGAGAGGAAGGGAUGGCUCCAAUGAGAUCAUUGUGGGAGAGGAAAUUGACCAGCUAG
rnacentral:rRNA from 1 species